rnacentral:rRNA from 1 species
CACGUAGGGCGCAAGCGUUGUCCGGAAUUAUUGGGCGUAAAGGGCUCGUAGGCGGUCUGUCGCGUCGGGAGUGAAAACUCAGGGCUUAACCCUGAGCCUGCUUCCGAUACGGGCAGACUAGAGUGCGGUAGGGGAGAAUGGAAUUCCCGGUGUAGCGGUGAAAUGCGCAGAUAUCAGGAGGAACACCGGUGGCGAAGGCGGGUCUCUGGGCCGAUACUGACGCUGAGGAGCGAAAGCGUGGGGAGCAAACAGA